UACGGAGGGGGCUAGCGUUGUUCGGAAUUACUGGGCGUAAAGCGCACGUAGGCGGCUUUGCAAGUUAGAGGUGAAAUCCCGGGGCUCAACCUCGGAACUGCCUUUGAUACUGCGGGUCUUGAGUCCGAUAGAGGUGGGUGGAAUUCCUAGUGUAGAGGUGAAAUUCGUAGAUAUUAGGAAGAACACCGGUGGCGAAGGCGGCCCACUGGAUCGGUACUGACGCUGAGGUGCGAAAGCGUGGGGAGCAAACAGG
rnacentral:rRNA from 1 species